UGGACACGCCUCUCCCUUACUUAAAUACCCUUGAGCCUCCUAGACCCUUUUUUGGGUUGUUGGUGACUCUUCAGCCUGGUGUGCCAUUUCGGUCCCCAGGGAAUUAGCCCAACUAUUUAGAAUUCUUCUUUGGGUCCCCAGGCCCUUCCUUUCCCUUGCUUGCACCUUCUCUACUGGGACUCUGCCUAGGCCGAAUUAAUCUCUGGAGCUAAAGAGAGGCAGGCACAGAACAUCUUAGCAAACGUGUUUGCACAUUUUCUGAGCUAAGUAAGCUAGGCUGAUUGCAAUUGGAGCCAGCAGGAGAAGGGCAAGAAGGGGCCACGGGGGCAGGAGGGGGUUUUGGGGGCAGAAAGGUGGGAGUGGUGAGCACCUGGGCAACCAUGCCAGUGCUGGGGGAGUUGCCCCAGCAGCUGCAACGUCAGCUAGCUGAGCAGAGGAGUAAGUGGGCAACAGGUGGGACAGCCAUGGCUGAGUCCGUGGUACAUUCAGCUGUGAUGGGCUUACUGCUCAUGACCAGUGAGGUAGGGAGACGAGAAUACCUAGUGAGGGGAAUAGGGUAGAGUUUGGGGAUGAAACAUGCAUGGGAUGGGGGAGGCAGUGGGCAGCAUGCUGUUGAAAGGUUAAAGUGCCAGGUAGGAUAUAUAGGAACUUGCCAAUUGUACUCUGACCUUCCAGGCUCAUCACACACUGCUUCUGGGCUCUGGUCAUGUUGGCCUUCGAAACCUGGGAAACACGUGCUUCCUGAAUGCUGUGCUGCAGUGUCUGAGCAGCACUCGACCUCUUCGGGACUUCUGUCUGAGAAGGGACUUCCGGCAAGAGGUGCCUGGAGGAGGCCGAGCCCAAGAGCUCACUGAAGCCUUUGCAGAUGUGAUUGGUGCCCUCUGGCACCCUGACUCCUGCGAAGCUGUGAAUCCUACUCGAUUCCGAGCUGUCUUCCAGAAAUAUGUUCCCUCCUUCUCUGGAUACAGCCAGCAGGAUGCCCAAGAGUUCCUGAAGCUCCUCAUGGAGCGGCUACACCUGGAAAUCAACCGCCGAGGCCGCCGGGCUCCACCAAUACUUGCCAAUGGUCCAGUUCCCUCUCCACCCCGCCGAGGAGGGGCUCUGCUAGAAGAACCUGAGUUAAGUGAUGAUGACCGAGCCAACCUAAUGUGGAAACGUUACCUGGAACGAGAGGACAGCAAGAUUGUGGACCUGUUUGUGGGCCAGUUGAAAAGUUGUCUCAAGUGCCAGGCCUGUGGGUAUCGCUCCACGACCUUCGAGGUUUUUUGUGACCUGUCCCUGCCCAUCCCCAAGGUGGGAUUCCAGAGGAUUCCGGGGUGGACAGGACAGGGGCUCUGUGACCCAAGCCUACCCACCCCCAGAGUGUGGGCGGGAACCCUGUGGAUUUCUGGAGCAGAACUGAAGCCUGGAUUGAUUGAGAAGAGUUGGGAAAAGGAAAUUCAGAACAUGUUGACCUUUCUUCCCUUUUUCCCCCAGAAAGGAUUUGCUGGGGGCAAGGUGUCUCUGCGGGAUUGUUUCAACCUUUUCACUAAGGAAGAAGAGCUAGAGUCGGAGAAUGCCCCAGUAUGUGGAGGUUCACAAGGGAUACAGUAAGGGUGGGAGACCUGGGGGGACUCCAUGUGGAUAAAAGGGAUUGCAUGAUGCCUUAAUAUGGGGAAUAAUAUUUAAUGUAUCUGGGUUUGUGUUGGAGUCUCAGAUAUGUUCUAGUACUCCUAGAGCAAAGGGGAGAAGCCGAGAGGAUCCAGCCGUAAUGAAGAGCAUACCAAAUUUGUGGAUCGGGGUGUCAGAAAAGCCAAUUGAGGUUAGGAGCAUAUUAACCUGACACUGUUUGCCAUUUAUUCAGGUGUGUGACCGAUGUCGGCAGAAAACUCGAAGUACCAAAAAGUUGACAGUACAAAGAUUCCCUCGAAUCCUCGUGCUCCAUCUGAAUCGAUUUUCUGCCUCCCGAGGCUCCAUCAAAAAAAGUUCAGUAGGUGUAGACUUUCCACUGCAGCGACUGAGCCUAGGGGACUUUGCCAGUGACAAAGCCGGAAGUCCUGUAUACCAGCUGUAUGCCCUUUGCAACCACUCAGGCAGCGUCCACUAUGGCCACUACACAGCCCUGUGCCGGUGCCAGACUGGUUGGCAUGUCUACAAUGACUCUCGUGUCUCCCCUGUCAGUGAAAACCAGGUGGCAUCCAGCGAGGGCUACGUGCUGUUCUACCAACUGAUGCAGGAGCCACCCCGGUGCCUGUGACACCUCUAAGCUCUGGCACCUGUGAAGCCCUUUAAACACCCUUAAGCCCCAGGCUCCCCGUUUACCUCAGAGACGUCUAUUUUUGUGUCUUUUUAAUCGGGGAGGGGGAGGGGGUGGUUGUAGCUCCAUUAUUUUUUUUAUUAAAAAAUACCCUUCCACCUGGAGGCUCCCUUGUCUCCCAGCCCCAUGUACAGAGCUCACCAAGCCCCUGCCCAUGUACAGCCCCCAGACCCUCUGCAAUAUCACUUUUUGUGAAUAAAUUUAUUAAGAAAAAA
rnacentral:sRNA from 1 species